GACGAACGCUGGCGGCAUGCCUAAUACAUGCAAGUCGAGCGAACAGAUGAAGUGCUUGCACUUCUGACGUUAGCGGCGAACGGGUGAGUAACACGUAAGGAAUCUACUUAUAAGCGGGGGAUAACAUUCGGAAACGGGUGCUAAUACCGCAUAAUAUCUUCUUCCGCAUGGACGAAGAUUGAAAGAUGGCUCUGCUGUCUCUUAUAGAUGACCUUGCGGUGCAUUAGUUAGUUGGUGGGGUAACGGCCUACCAAGACGAUGAUGCAUAGCCGACCUGAGAGGGUGAUCAGCCACAUUGGGACUGAGACACGGCCCAAACUCCUACGGGAGGCAGCAGUAGGGAAUCUUGCACAAUGGGCGAAAGCCUGACGGAGCAAUGCCGCGUGAGUGAAGAAGGCCUUCGGGUCGUAAAACUCUGUUAUAAGAGAAGAACAAAAUGUAGAGUAACUGCUACAGUCUUGACGGUAUCUUAUCAGAAAGCCACGGCUAACUACGUGCCAGCCGCCGCAGUAA
rnacentral:rRNA from 1 species